GACGAACGCUGGCGGCGUGCCUAAUACAUGCAAGUCGAGCGGACGGAUGGGAGCUUGCUCCCAGACCGUCAGCGGCGGACGGGUGAGUAACACGUGGGCAACCUGCCUGUAAGACUGGGAUAACUCCGGGAAACCGGGGCUAAUACCGGAUAACUCUUUCCCUCACAUGAGGGAAAGCUGAAAGAUGGCAUCUCGCUAUCACUUACAGAUGGGCCCGCGGCGCAUUAGCUAGUUGGUGAGGUAACGGCUCACCAAGGCGACGAUGCGUAGCCGACCUGAGAGGGUGAUCGGCCACACUGGGACUGAGACACGGCCCAGACUCCUACGGGAGGCAGCAGUAGGGAAUCUUCCGCAAUGGACGAAAGUCUGACGGAGCAACGCCGCGUGAGUGAUGAAGGUUUUCGGAUCGUAAAACUCUGUUGUCAGGGAAGAGCAAGUACCGGAGUAACUGCCGGUACCUUGACGGUACCUGACCAGAAAGCCACGGCUAACUACGUG
rnacentral:rRNA from 1 species